AUUUCGCGCUAUUUCUUGUUUCUGCACUCGCUUUGAACUUUGGCUUUAACAGCAGUUAUCGACUUAGCUGUAUUACAUAGUGUACUUGGUACAUAAUUGAUCAAAAGGGCUCGUGUUACUUUAACAUCACUUUUGAAUUUCACGAAAGCAGAUAAAAGUUUUAGUGACGCUGCAGAAAAUAGAUUGAAGAAACUCCGGAAUACUCAAUACUGUGGAUUGGGAGGAGGAGAAAGUGAUAAUCCUGUUAUAUGGACUGUUUCUAGGACACGAUAAACUUCCUAAUAAGUUAACAACUCUACCUCGAUUCGAUGCAGUGGGAGAGGUUGAAGUUGACGUUUAAGCAGUCACCCUGCCGAACAAAAAAUCUUUCAGGCCAAGAGGCUAGGUGACUAGAAACUCAAUCACUAUAUCCGUGAAACUUGUCUGGAGCACUGUUAUGUGUGGAGGUCGGACCGAAACUAAUCAGACACUAAACAUUAACGAGGACCAAUUAUUUUACUCCUUUAAUGAUGAAUAAUUAUAAAGAUCGCUGAUUGCUUUUACUAAUAUAUAGUGUUAAAAUGAAAGAGAAACUGUUGAGACAAAAGAGAAAAACGCACUCAUUUAUUUAUAGUUUUAUGUCUUAACAAUGUUAUUCGAAAGCUAAUUUUAAAAGCUGGCUCUAAUUCCUUGCUAAAUGAUUUGGGAAGGUGUAAGGGCUAAACAUGCCUGUAGACAUCAUUUUCAGUGGGUUUUAUGAAGUUUAUGAUUAGGGUAUAUUUUGGGACUGAAAUAAGCGCAAGACCUUCGACGUUUCUAUUCCUACUGUUUUUUUAAUUUAGCAAAUAUACCAAAAAAAAUUAUACUGUCGUAAAGAUAAAAUGUUUAGUUAUCGGAUAGAUACUUUAAAAUUAAGUAUUAAAAUAACCGAGCUAAGAUAUUCAAUGUUAAACUCAAAAAUGUUCACGCGUUUAUGAAGAAAUAUUUAA